AUUUUACUGACCUGUUUAUUUUAUUCAGAUAAGUCCGCUGGAAGCAAGAUAUGAAAAACCAUUUUUAAACUUGCUAGGAAAUGAGGUGAAGAAAGGACCUCCCAGUGUGAACACAUACCAGGAGACAAGGGAAGAAAGCUCAUUUAUCUGUUGCCAGUCUAAGACAUCACUAUGAUAACAUCAGUCUCGCUGUUACUUCCCAACUGAACUUUUGUUUUGUCCAUUGCAUCAGUCACUAAACCCUCAUCUGCAAUUCCCAUAACUUUUCCUGCAGGAUGGAGCUCCAGCAAUGCAUUUCACUGAACUUAAGGUUUGGGAGAGAAAAUGAGAAGUUAUAGAGUAUACAAUGUUAAAUUAGGAUGGAUAUACAUAGGUGGAGUGCAAUAAACAAAGGGGAACUGAAAAGUUUCUGACA
rnacentral:lncRNA from 1 species